CUCCUUUCCUUGAGCAGCAGCAAAAACAACAUGGGAUGAAGUGACUAUAACUCCUGUUCCCUGUCUCCUUGUGCCACUGGACAGAACUGGAAGUUCAACCACUCAGCCCACCUUCAAGAUAUGCCUGUGCUGUUCUAGUGCUCCUGACAAACCAGGCCAACUGGAUAAUUAAUUAAGGAUGAGACACGUGGUGAUGUGCACCUGGAAAUCAUUAGACGCCUGGAGGUUACAUGUUCAUGAGUCCUCCCUUGGAAUCUGGACAUUAUCUGUUGUGUUUGUUUCCUUGGGUAUCUGCUGGUAAAGUUCAAAGACAGUGAUCUGAGAAGGUGAAAAAUAAUUCUUUGCUUUUGGCCAGGUGCAAUUAGUUGUAUUUAUUUGUAAUAGAAAAAAAAAGUUGACUGGAAAUGAAAGUGAAUAGAGCAGCCUGGGUCAUUGUGUGUGGUUAAAUUUAUUCUGCAAAAUAACUUCUGUGGAAGUUCAAGAAAUGCUAAUAAAAUUGAAUUAAGUAUUG